rnacentral:pre_miRNA from 1 species
AGUGGGAUAACUGGGUUAAAUGGUGGCUCCAUUCCAAGUUUUUUGAGGAAUUGCUAUACUGCUUUCUAGAGUGGUUGCACCAAUUUGCAAUCCCACAAUGUAU